rnacentral:rRNA from 1 species
GUGCGAAAACUUCGCAAUGUGGGAAACCACGACGAGGGGAUACCAAGUGCCUACACUAUGUGUAGGCUGUUUUCGUGUCUAAAAAACACGGAGAGUAAGGGCUGGGUAAGACGGGUGCCAGCCGCCGCGGUAAUACCCGCAGCCCGAGUGGUGAUCAUUAUUAUUGGGCCUAAAACGUCCGUAGCCGGCCCGGUAAAUUCUUGGGGAAAUCGGUGAGCUUAACUCAUCGAAGUCCGAGGAGACUGCCGGGCUUGGGACUGGGUGAGGUCAGAGGUACUUCUAGGGUAGGGGUAAAAUCCUGUAAUCCUUGAAGGACCACCAGUGGCGAAGGCGUCUGACUAGAACGGAUCCGACGGUAAGGGACGAAGCCCUGGGGCACAAACGGGAUUAGAUACCCCGGUAGUCCAGUGGUGUAAACGCUGUGGGCUUGGUGUUGGGAGUCCUACGAGGGCGCCCAGUGCCGUAGAGAAGUUGUUAAGCCUACUGCCUGGGGAGUACGCUCGCAAGAGUGAAACUUAAAGGAAUUGGCGGGGGAGCACCGCAACGGGAGGAGCGUGCGGUUU